rnacentral:lncRNA from 1 species
GUAGGUAUCUUUAGUCUUGGGACAGGGAGUAGAGAAGCUAGGUCAAGUUCACAGUAUAUUAUAGUUUCAGAAAGGAAAAAAAAAAGAUUCUUGAUUGUCAACGUAUCUGCAUUUGGAGUUGAGUGAUUUUGGCCACAGACCCUAGCUGAAGACAGAGAAGCCACACAUUUUCAUUCCAGUCCAGUCACCCACUGGCAGGUUCACUGAAGAGUUAAGUGUUCUGAGCAAAAGCAGCCUUGCAGAUCCUGGAAAGUAACGUGGGCUAAUGGGGUCAUAACCAUCCGAUGUGCCAUCCCUGCGAAGCCAGGGGGAGAUCAAGAAGUAUUCUAAGCUACACAGUAAAAGCAAAUGCUCACUGUUGGGAUAUUGUAUCAACUGGCUAUGAAGAAACCCUCAGAGGGCGUCAGCUUGCCUGUACACCGUGGGCGAGCAGAAAGUAUGCAGACACCUGCAGCCGGCUCAUGGGCGG